ACAGUCUCCAUCCCUGGGUUUCUCUUCCUCCAGAGUUCCUCGCUUGCUGACACAGCCGUGAUCUCUGUCUCAGUUCCAGAGGCAGCGGGGUGAUUUUUGCCAGACGGACCCUUCGGAAGAAGAAUGAAUUUACCAGGCCAUUUGGCCGGGGAGUUUUGCGUUUGCAUGAAGGAGCGCGUGUUUAUUUCCUCAUCCAAAACCAAGUGCUUCCUGGUGCUGGGAAUGGUGCAAGGUGCUGGGGAAAGGGUCGCUGCUGUGGGCCGCUCUGUGGCAUUUGCAUUCUAUGUGCGGGGAAGCAGAACCCUUGGGAAUGCUCGCUCCAGCCUGAACACUGAGCUAAGGUCAAACAGGAUCCUGCUCCCAUUUCUUCUGACUCCAAAUCCUGGCCUUCUAGGCAAACCAGGUAAGGAGGGAGAAGUUCUGUCCCUGAACACCAGCCUUGGGCUAUUGUUUACCUUCACUGAAAACUGCAUCAUGGGUAAAAAAUAAGGCUUAAAGGUUUACUCUUCCUGCUUCUCCACCAAGCCGGUCGCCAUGGCACUGGUCUCGGGAAGACAACGUGCAUCGGCGACACCACAGUGCUCUUGCCAGAACUUUAUCUAUUGAGUAACAGAGCCAGGGCCAGGGGAGCAGGGAAGCCUCAAGCCCUGGCGGUGACAGUAGGAUUGAUACUGAGAGGACUGUCCUGCAGGUCCUUUGCCAGUCCAGCCUAUGAGAGGGGAAGAAUGCUGGCCAACACCUCCAUCACCGAUCGGCAAGAAAAGCAGUUGUUAUUUGCCAUCCUUUGAGUUCUCCAUUGUAACCUUCUGUCCAGGGGUUUGGGACUCUCCAUUUCUUUAUUUGUAAAAUGGGCAUAGGUGGGGGAAAGCGUGAACGGAUCAAGCCAAUUGGUCCCAGAAGAUGUUCCAGGCUCUAAAAAGAGAAAACACAUAUUGGAC
rnacentral:lncRNA from 1 species